GUGAAGCUGGCGGAGCAGGAGUAUGGGCGGUGAUAGACUAGAGAACAAGACUUCUGUCUCCGUAGCAUCCUGGAGCAGUCUGAAUGCCAGAAUGGAUAACCGUUUUGCUACAGCGUUUGUCAUUGCUUGUGUACUUAGCCUCAUUUCUACCAUCUACAUGGCAGCCUCAAUUGGCACAGACUUCUGGUAUAAGUAUCGAAGUCCAGUUCAAGAAAAUUCCAGCAAUUUGAACAAAAGCAUCUGGAAUGACUUUGCUAGUGAUGAGGCAGAUGAAAAGACUUACAGUGAUGCACUUUUCCAAUAUAAUGGCACAGUGGGAUUGUGGAGACGGUGUAUCACUAUACCCCAAAACACAUAUUGGUAUAGCCCACCAGAAAGGACAGAGUCAUUUGAUAUGGUCACAAAAUGCAUGAGUUUCACCCUAAAUGAUCAGUUCAUGGAGAAAUUUGUUGAGCCUGGAAACCACAACAGUGGGAUUGAUCUGCUUCGGACCUAUCUUUGGUGUUGCCAGUUCCUUUUACCUUUUGUUAGUCUAGGUUUGAUGUGCUUUGGGGCUUUGAUUGGACUCUGUGCUUGUAUCUGCCGAAGCUUGUACCCCACCAUCGCCACAGGCGUUCUCCAUCUCCUUGCAGGUCUGUGUACCCUGGGCUCAGUGAGCUGUUACGUUGCCGGGACUGAACUCCUCCACUAGAAGCUGGAGCCGCCCGAGAAUGUGUCUGGGGAAUUCGGAUAGUCCUUCUGCCUGGCUUGCGUCUCAGCUCCCUUGCAGUUCAUGGCUUCCGCUCUCUUCAUCUGGGCCGCUCACACCAACCGGAAGGAGUACACCUUGAUGAAGGCGUAUCGUGUGGCAUGAGUGGGAAGCUGCCUGCUUUAUAGUUGCCAUUUUUAUGAUUUUUUUUUAUAUUAAUAUUGUCCCUUAUCUCCCCCGAAUUGUUUUUAAUUUAACUUUUUUUUGUGUGUGGAUAUACCAUUUUAUCCUGAAAACCCAUUUUAUUUAUUCAAGCAGACAGUUGUUUCUCAACACAACUAAAAUUUAAAUGGAACCUGGGUGAUUCCAUCUUUUAGUCAAACUAAUCUAGGUUCAGAGUCCAGACAGAAGAAAUCGGGUAGAGUCUUGGCACAAAUUUGUGAGGAAAAUUGGUAGUAGGAGGUUGACCCAUAGCAAGUUCUGCUGAUGUCUGUUAGACUUUUCAGUAAUGUAACUGUCUGUUUAACUGGAACUUAUAGUUUCUUUGGGAAACUUCUUAUCAUUGUCAAAACUUACAUUCACCUUGCUACUUGAGCCAGCUAGUCAGCCAGAGAUAUUAGUGCUGUCUUCAAGGACUUAGGCUAUCUAAAAUAAGGAAAUCAUCUAAGAUUUUUUUCCCUAAAUACUGGCAUAUAGUUUCAUCUGAAGUGAAAUACUGCAGUUUUUUUAUCUCUACACUGUCAGUUUAAAAGAAAGGGAGUGUUUACGUGGAAUUUUAACUUUGUUAACUACAAAAAUUCCAGUUCAGCCAGUCAAGACGAUUAACCUUAUUUUACCUUUUUUAAAAAUAUCUUUAAUAUGUCAAUAGGAUUUCCAGUAUCAGCUAACCUUUUUGGAUUUUUGUUCCUUCCCUCCUCACACACCAGACUUAUUACAAGAGUGCUUUCUUUUAAAUAAUACAUUGAGGUCACCGAGUAAAAUUUUCCAGUUGCUGUUUAUUUCAGCUAAGUACCAUAAAGAAGGUUCCACCAUAAUGACCCUCCAGAGCUAGGAAAACUACCACAAGACCUAAAGCUUUGGCUGGUCAUUAACUUCUGACUAUGGUCUUUAUCUCUUGUGGUGGAAUGAUGUGCCUUUCCUUGCCUAAUGCCCUCCUGGUGUGUUGUCAGCAUUAUUUAAUGUCUUCUAAUUCAGUCAUUUUUUUAUAAAUAUGUCUAUAAACAUUGAACUUAAAAAAAUCUUAUUUAUUUAUUCCAUUACUGUAGUACUUGACAAAUUAAAAAAAAAUGUAACAGUAAUUUCUUACAAAAUCCUAAAUUUGUCUUUUUUAAAAAAUAAAAAAUGAGAAGAGA